UACAGAGGGGGCAAGCGUUGUUCGGAAUUACUGGGCGUAAAGGGCGCGUAGGCGGCCUGUUAAGUCGAACGUGAAAUCCCCGGGCUCAACCCGGGAACUGCGUCCGAUACUGGCAGGCUUGAAUCCGGGAGAGGGAUGUGGAAUUCCAGGUGUAGCGGUGAAAUGCGUAGAUAUCUGGAGGAACACCGGUGGCGAAGGCGGCAUCCUGGACCGGUAUUGACGCUGAGGCGCGAAAGCCAGGGGAGCGAACGGG
rnacentral:rRNA from 1 species